GUCUACAGCCAUGCUACCCUGAACAAGCCCGAUCCCAUUUGAUCUCAGAAGCUAAGCAGGGUCGAGCCUGGUUAGUACUUGGAUGGGAGACCACCUAGGAAGACCAGGUGCUGUAGGUA
rnacentral:rRNA from 1 species